GUUUGAUCCUGGCUCAGGACGAACGCUGGCGGCGUGCUUAACACAUGCAAGUCGAACGGUGAAGCCCUUCGGGGUGGUGUUCUAGCGGCGAACGGGUGAGUAACACGUGGGCAACCUGCCCUCAGCUCUGGGAUAACUCCAAGAAAUUGGGGCUAAUACUGGAUAUGACUGCUGACCGCAUGGUCUGGUGGUGGAAAGAUUUAUCGGCUGGGGAUGGGCCCGCGGCCUAUCAGCUUGUUGGUGGGGUGAUGGCCUACCAAGGCGACGACGGGUAGCCGGCCUGAGAGGGCGACCGGCCACACUGGGACUGAGACACGGCCCAGACUCCUACGGGAGGCAGCAGUGGGGAAUAUUGCGCAAUGGGCGAAAGCCUGACGCAGCGACGCCGCGUGGGGGAUGACGGCCUUCGGGUUGUAAACCUCUUUCAGCAGGGACGAAGUUGACGUGUACCUGUAGAAGAAGCGCCGGCUAACUACGUGCCAGCAGCCGCGGUUAG
rnacentral:rRNA from 1 species